UGCUCGGUAAAGUGACCAAAACCGCCCGGGAGGAAUACCAGUAUUGUGUGGAUGUCCCAGCGGACUUCAUUGGCAUCUAUCGGAUUGGGGUGACAGCCUUUGUAACGCCAGGUUCUUCAAAUGUCGUCGUAUAUGAUUUCCAGAUGGAUUCUGGUAACUGCAAAGCGACAUUGGGAAAAACAAACUGUUCGUUUGAACAUGAUUUCUGUGACUACAUUGUAAUAGAAGGUGCACACGAAUGCAACUAUGAAUACAAAUGGAAACACACGUCAGAGAAACAAGGAUCCGACCAUUACAUGAUGGCAGAAGCACCUUUUAACAUCACCAUGUCCAUCCUGGACUCCACAGAUUUGUCGCUGGGAAGUGUGCAAAUAAAUGUCGACUGUUUCUUGCGCUUUUCGUAUCUCAGUUUGAAUUCGUCUAGUUACUUUGACG